GUUGGUUCACAUGCUUGGCCCGGCCUGAGCCUUCUGCUUUCCAAGGUGCAGUGGGGUCUGGUGGAGCUUAAGCCCCCGGGAUGGUUCCUCCGGGGAUGCUUGCUUGUCCGAGCACGGCAGAGCCAGUGGUGGAACCAGUCGAAGAUGAAGCUCCUAGGGCGGUUCCUCCACAGAUUUUGGAUGAGAUCCCUGAUGGGCUCAUUAAUGAUGAUCUUCUAGAGGAACGCCUCUUGAAGAAGAUGUAGAAGUCGCUGAAGCGAGUUUACAUUCAUCAUAAGGUAAUAUUUUCCUUGAGGUAAGUAGUACGCUUUAUUUUUCUGAAUGCAAGUAUUUGUGAUAGCCUGCUUCUAUUGUUGCUUGUGCAGAAAAUGGCUCAGAGGUCACGGAUCAAGUUGUCUGCUCUGGCUGUCGAGUCAGAGCGGCUCCAGUAGGUUCCUACUCUCAAGCGGGAUCUUGAGGAGAAGGAUGACCUGAUUGCUGCACUUGCGGAGCAGCUGGCAGUGGCUCGUGAGAGCGUGACUGGUUCCUCCAGCCAUCGUGAAGAGGAAUUUGCUCAGCUCAAGCGGGAAAGAGAUCAGGCUCUUCGAGAUUGCACGGAACUUCGUGGGUUCAACGCCGAUCUCGGAGAGUACAAAAAGACCAUUGAGCAGUAGUUGGAGCAAGCUGACAAGAAGAUCACCGAGCACCUCCAUACCAUCCAGAAGCUGAAUCGGGACAGGACCGAAGAGACGAGGAAAUCUUUAACCUGGAAGUGGCGGGUCGCGCUGUGGUCGACAUAGUGCAACCACUUCGCCCGAGUGACCAUGACUCUCGGUCUGUCAUGGCACGGCUCAAGGAUGUUCCAGGGUCGUUGAGGGAUUCCUGGAAGAAGAAAUCGAGUGGGGAAUAGGCUGGUAGCAUGAUAUAGGGCCUUCUGUGUAUAAACUUUUGCCACUUCUGGACAUAUAUAAGGCCUUUCGCUGUGUGGUUACGCUUCUUGUUUAUUUAUCA